CAUCUUUAAUUCACGUCUCCUCCUACACACUAAAGAAUGGUAUAGAUAUUUCCCGCACUGUCAGACCGUGGACAUUUGGCUUAGCUGCGUGAACAAUACUCCAAACAAGGAACCUUCGAACUGAGACACUGAAUCUGUAACUCUCAGCCGCCUUAGUCCUGCUCGCCUCGCCACUGCCGCGUGGUUACGUCAAGACAGCGGGCGGCCGCGUACUAGUUUCCUUAGUACUUGUGCUUCCGUGUCAAUACCGUGUGCUGUAAACUGCUGAACGAACUGAGAUACUCAUUCAGUUUUGGUCGCCUCUCCAUUAUCUCGUGGUGACGUAAAGGUGACGGCCCGUGUGUUAGUUUCCCCGGUAAUUGUGCCUCCGUAACAUUACUGUGUGCAGUGGUCGUGAGAACUGCGAGGCGGCGGUGUAGACUGUGCCGUGGAGAGCCGCGGGGUGUUGGAAUCGCCUCUCAGUCACCUUCAAGGCGUCAUAUUCCCUCCCUGCUCUUCCCCGUGUCUUCCUGUCGAUGUUGAGGAGAUAAUUGGUGGGCUGUGUGUGGUGGUGCCACAUUGUCUGUGAGGGGACCCCCAGAGCCACACAGCACCAGCUGCAACAGCUACAGCAGCAGCAGCAGCAGCAGCAGCCAGAGGAGGGAAAUGGCAUCCACCUUCUACCUCACCCAGUGUCACCGGGGCCCUCCUCCUCCUCCAGCAGCUGGCCAGGGUGCAGGGACAGGAUGAGCAAGCAGGUGGUGACAGAGAGGGUGGCCAGCUUGUCCCUCCCUCCUGCCACCCAGCCACAGCACUGGCAGUUGCUGCAGUGAGACUGCCCAGGCACAAGUUUGUGCACGUGUCCAGGACGUGAAGGUGAUGGGAACGUGUCCUGUAGGAGGGAGCAGAGCUGUAACAGUACCCGAGUCUGCUGCUGUGCUGGGAGGAGGAGAAAAACAUCAGCAGUAGUUAGUAGUGGCAGUAGAAGUAUUCAGCAGUGCUGCUGCUGCUGGCUGCUGCUGCUGCUGCUGUCAGUGGUGCAGCUGUUCACUCCUCCACAGCUGCUGCCUUCCCUCAACAUACUGUGUCUUCCCUCACCUACAAUGAACAACUAUGAACAAUACCUCUCGUGCAAUCAGGCAGCGCUCAGCUGUACUCACCGAUAGACUGACCACUAAGAAUUACCUGUGGGCCACAUGACAAGGCCCACACGCCAGCCAGGCUUGGUUGCCAGUCAAUAACAACAACAACAACAACAACAACAACAACAACAACAACAACAACAACAACAUCUCGUGCAAUGAAGAACACUGAAUAACAACAACACCUCUCCCCUGCAUCAUCAACAACAAACAACAUCUGCUUUAUUUCACUCAUGCUGCCCCCUCCCCCCCCCUCUCUCUCUCUCUCUCUCUCUCUCUCUCUCUCUCUCUCACCUCACCUCACCUCAGGCCACAGCGCCACAGUAUGUCCCCCCACAGUAUGUUUACAAACCCACAGUGACUCCCCACAGCCCCUCACCAAUAAGUGAGCCCCUCACACACACACACACACACACACACACACACACACAGCAUAACAUACACAAACGCUGCAUCUUGUACAAUGGCCGCAAUAAAGAAUGGACACACAAAA